rnacentral:lncRNA from 1 species
UAAUCAAAUGCAUCACCAAUAUUAUUAACUUACUUUCAAAUUUAUCCUCCAUAUAACAACACAUGGACAAGUUUGAUUAAAAUGUUGCAAUUUCAGGAUCCUUUUAGAAUAUCAAUAAUGUGAGGGAUUAAAUUCUUUCAAAAAAAAUGUGAGGGAUUAGAUUUAUACAUUGCAACUAAAUGAUUGAAUUUAAGUGGUUAAAGAGCUUCCAUUAAUAUGAAUCAUUUGGAAGAAUCCAAUUUCGACUUCAGGUGAAAACAAUUUAUCGUCAGACUUUACUUACCUUUCGGCUGAACUUUGGAUUACUAAUGCCCCUUUCUCGAGAAACCGGAGGUUAACACCAAAAAAGAUUAAUACAUUCCUAUAAUUUAAAAGACCAAUUUGAAUAUUAAUUUCAUUUUUCAUUAAAGAAAAUUAUGAUACUCUUGAAUGGUUAACAAGGUCCACCACUACCUGAUAAUUGAUGUUGAGAAUUAUAUAAUCUAGACCAAUUUCAAUAAUUCAAUAGAUUGUGUCUGGCAACCAGUAAGAUUCCUCGGUUGCAAUGGAAAGGCUUGUAUGGAUCAUCAGCAGUGCCUGUGUCGUUGUAGAAGCAUUGCAUUAAGAAAGAGAAAAUUCAUUAUCUCUCUCUUAAUUCAACAGCUUUUAGUGAACACUGUUGAUGAAAAAAUGGCUGAAGAAGAUUACAUGCCACAAAGAAAAGAGAAAAUGCUGAGAUUUGUUACCAUGUAUGUUGACAAAGAUCAUGCUUAAGUUCUCCAAUAUACUUACAUUUUUCGCACUCAACCUUUACACAAAAAGAGAAGAAAAUAUGAAAUGAAACCUAAUAUUCAAGUUUGUGACUAUUAACAUAACAUGACAUGAUAACAAAAAUUGAGCAACACUAUAGCCUUAAUUAAUAUUCAAGUUUAUCAUCCCACAUUAGAAGCAAAACAGUGCACCUCCACAUUAUAUACAGUCUAGUUUUCUGCUCCCUGAAUUGCCUUGAACACCGUCGCAUCAAUCGAGGCUUUUCUAUUCUCAUUGAUAAUGAUUGUCUACUCUUGCUAUAUAUAGAUAUGAUAUUAUAGCUAUAACUCUUAUAGUAUAAAACACAAGAACUUAUGAUUAUAUAUAGAAGAAGAAGGUAGUGAUGAAUUAUGAUUAGUGAAAAAUGUGUCAGAACACGUAGGAACCGACAAGGGUGGCCCCUAACCUAAUAGAUAUGAAAACGACAAAGCAGUCUUCGUCACAUUGUCUCUCUCCCAAAUAGACUUUGCUUCAACAGCUCAUCCUUGUAGGAUUGCCCAACCCUGUCUGUCUCUACUCUCUACAAUCUAAUACUCAAUACUAUACUAUAUACGAAUUUCUGCCUCAUUUUCAGGCUUCCAUUUUGUUAUUUCCAUGUUGAUAUAUCAAGUAUCAUAUCAACAAACACCUAUGUAUUCCAGCUAGGAUAUUUUAUUAAUUAUUUUUACAAUAAUGUGGUGGAGAAUCAAUGGUAGGUUCUUUUAAUUAAUACUAAAAGUAUUUCAUAUUAUUGAAUCAAACAAUGAAAUGACUUUCAUUGAACUGUACAUUGUGAUUAUAAGCUUUUAAAUAAUAGAUAUAUUGUAUAGUUAAAAUUGAAAUUCAACUUACAGAAUUGCCCUAAGGUGGUGGGGAGAGUGAUUUUACAUUACUAGCACAUAUAUUUUUCAACCACCAAUUUCGU